rnacentral:rRNA from 1 species
UACGGGGGGAGCAAGCGUUGUUCGGAUUUACUGGGCGUAAAGGGCGCGUAGGCGGCCACUGCAAGUCGGUUGUGAAAUCUCCGGGCUUAACCCGGAAAGGUCAAUCGAUACUGCAGGGCUAGAGUGCAGAAGGGGCAACUGGAAUUCUCGGUGUAGCGGUGAAAUGCGUAGAUAUCGAGACGAACACCUGCGGCGAAGGCGGGUUGCUGGGCUGACACUGACGCUGAAGCGCGAAAGCUAGGGGAGCGAACGGG